rnacentral:rRNA from 1 species
CGAAAGCCUGACGGAGCAACGCCGCGUGAGGGAUGAAGGCCUCUGGGCUGUAAACCUCUUUUCUCAAGGAAGAAGAUCUGACGGUACUUGAGGAAUAAGCCACGGCUAAUUCCGUGCCAGCAGCCGCGGUAAUACGGGAGUGGCAAGCGUUAUCCGGAAUCAUUGGGCGUAAAGCGUCCGCAGGCGGCCUUGAAAGUCUGUCGUUAAAGCGUGGAGCUUAACUCCAUUACUGCGAUGGAAACUGGAAGACUAGAGUGUGGUAGGGGCAGAGGGAAUUCCCGGUGUAGCGGUGAAAUGCGUAGAUAUCGGGAAGAACACCAGUGGCGAAGGCGCUCUGCUGGGCCAUAACUGACGCUCAUGGACGAAAGCCAGGGGAGCG